rnacentral:rRNA from 1 species
AUUGAACGCUGGCGGCAUGCCUUACACAUGCAAGUCGAACGGCAGCAUGGAGGAGCUUGCUCCUCUGAUGGCGAGUGGCGAACGGGUGAGUAAAGCAUCGGAACGUACCGUGUAGUGGGGGAUAACGUAGCGAAAGUUACGCUAAUACCGCAUACGCACUGAGGUGGAAAGCGGGGGAUCGUAAGACCUCGCGCUAUACGAGCGGCCGAUGUCAGAUUAGCUAGUUGGUAGGGUAAAGGCCUACCAAGGCGACGAUCUGUAGCGGGUCUGAGAGGAUGAUCCGCCACCCUGGGACUGAGACACGGCCCAGACUCCUACGGGAGGCAGCAGUGGGGAAUUUUGGACAAUGGGCGCAAGCCUGAUCCAGCCAUGCCGCGUGCGGGAAGAAGGCCUUCGGGUUGUAAACCGCUUUUGUCAGGGAAGAAAUCUUUUGAGCUAAUACCUCGGAAGGAUGACGGUACCUGAAGAAUAAGCACCGGCUAACUACGUGCCAGCCGCCGCGGUAA